rnacentral:misc_RNA from 1 species
GGAAGGAUCAUUAACAAAACUUGAACUUAAUAACAAAUAGAAGUGUGAUCUGGGUAAAACCGGGUCAAUUUAAACUUAUGUGCAAACCACAUAACUAAGUAAUUGGUUGAUAAAUCAAUUUAAAUUUUCAACGAUGGAUGUCUUGGUUCCCAUAACGAUGAAGAACGCAGCAAGAAUGCGAUAUGCAAUGUGAAUUGCAGAACUACGAAUCAUUUGAUCUUUGAACGCAAAUGGCACUGAGUUAUCUCAGUAUACUUGUUUCAGUGUGCCUAACCAAAUUAAAUCUAAAUGUGAGAGAAAAUUCUCUCAUCAAAUAAAUGCUCCAAGUAGCAGUCACAUUUUUAUGUGAGCUAUUUUGUGAGAAUAAAAUACUGUCUUAUUUGCACCUGAAAUCAAGUAAGAUCACCCGCUGGACUUAAGCAUAUUACUAAGCGGAGGAAAAGAAAUUAACUAAGAUUGCCUUAGUAAGGGCGACUGAACCGGCAUAAGCUCAAAAUUAAAAUCGAAAAUUCAAAGAAUUUUCGAAUUGUAAUCAGGGUACCUAAAAUACAAAAAGUCACUCAAGAGUAUUGAACGACUCGCCAAAGAGGGUAAUAGCCCCGUGCAGUGAUUUUUUGAACAUAGGAACUCGAACAAGAGUCGUGUUGCUUGGAACUGCAGCACUAAGUGGGAGAUAUGAUUCUUCCAAAGCUAAAUAUCGAUGGGAGACCGAUAGCGAACAAGUACUGUGAAGGAAAGAUGAAAAGGACUUUGAAAAGAGAGUGAAAAGAUCUGAAAUCGUUGAGAAGGAAGCUGUUAAAACUGAUCGAGGCCAUGAUGGUACAAUGCAACCAAAAAUUGCAAAGUAUCUACCAAAAGCCCUGGACAAAAUGAAACUAAUUAAAUCAAAAAAGGUUCAAACCGAAUAAGAUCUAAUUAGUUUAAGGGACUACGGUGAUUUUGUCUAAAAGGUUUUAACCGACCCGUCUUGAAACACGGACCAAGGAGUCUAACACAUAUGCGAGUGUGCGAGUUCUAAACUCAUACGCGUAAUGAAAGUAAAAGGUGCGCAGCGCAAGCAACAGCAUCGACCGACCUAGUAAGAAAGGUUUGAGUAUUAGCAUAUUUGUUAGGACCCGAAAGAUGGUGAACUAUGCCUGAGUAGGGUGAAGUCAGGGGAAACCCUGAUGGAGGCUCGUAGCGGUGCUAACGUGCAAAUUGCUCGUCAAACUUGGGUAUAGGGGCGAAAGACUAAUCGAACCAUCUAGUAGCUGGUUCCCUC